UUCAGGGGAUAGCUAGAGUUUGAUUCUGGAAGCAUUUGUUUAAGCUGUGUUUGCAGGAAGAGAGUCCCUAAGAACUUUAACCCUGAGGUGAGAGUGAAGCUGAAAGUGGCCGGUAGGAAGAAGCAACAAUGAACUGAAAAAAAGCAGUGCUUAGCUACUGUUCACAGGGUCCAUGGUUUGGAAGCCAGAGUUAUGGGCAGGCCCAGUUCCCCUACCAUCUACAGUGGCAUAAGCCCCAGGAAGGGGAAAAUGCUUAUGGAGAGCUUGAACAAAGGGCAGAAUUUCAAGGACCCAGAGUUGGGGCUGGAGACCCUAGUGAGGGCAAUGGGACUGUUCUUGACUUUCCCAGAGGGGUUCAUUUGGACUUCGGGACUUAGCCAGAGGCCUGAGCCACAGAAGACUCACAGCUGGCAGGGUUCCCCAGGGGUGAGAAAAGGACUGUGGUACCAUAUCCAGCCACUAAGAGGCUCUCAAAAGGUCCUAGCACAAUGGGAAUCUGGUCUGUGACUGGGACUAUGAGGCAGUACGCAAUAGAAAUAAUCACAUGCUGAUCUACAGAAAUACUUUUGUACCCUGGCCUCUCCACUGGCUUAAGAGAUUAGUCACUGAAAAUGGAAGUAUGUGAACUUGACAUCUGCAGUUUAACUCAGUCCCUUCAUCUCCUGCACUGAGUGUUCUUUCUGCUCAGUACACGCUGUCUGAAUGCACAGGAGAACCGUGAUGGAUGGUGACAAAGAGCCUGGAGACUUUUUCCCCAUUUGAUGGGUCUUGUGGUGAGCUGGGUCAUGUAUAUGGACCUGGAGAAGAAAGAGGAGGUGGCAUUCAUUUGGAUGAAGAGGAAUUUUGGACAAUGGAUUAUGUCUGGAAAGGCAGGUGUUCUGUUUCACUGAUCAGCUCUCCCCCGAAAGUGCAGUGAAGCAACAAGCAUUAGCUUCAGACUCUUGCGGCAACUUUAUGUACAGUGAAUUUCAUUGCAUAUGUCCCGCUUGCUGAUGCCACCAUGGCAAUAGGUAACACAUGAAUACAAGCCAAGUUUGAUUUAAAAAAAAAAUUGCCUCGGGUUAGGCGGUUGUGUUCAUAUCUAGGUCCCCAAAUAAAUGGCUUGACUUGUACUAGCACUGAGUGCUAAGAAAUUCCCAAUAGGUACUCAUUUUUAAAAACAAUAUUGGGCAAAGUCCACUGGGAGUAUGACGCAGUUUUGCUAUAUAGAAAGAGUAGCAAGCUCCAGCAAACAGGCUGCUUUCAAUUAUCCUUGCACUAUACCCAUUUUUGGAGAAUGACUUUAGUCUAAGUCUAACUUUUCUAUGUUGCAGCUGUGCGGGUAUUGUAUUUUCACUAACCCCAUCUCCCAGGCACCCGGGAGAUGCAAGGGGCUAAUUAUCUGUAUUGUAAAGUUUGAGCUGAGGUUUUGGAGGGGGGAAACCCAGAGCUGGCGUUGUUGGGCAAAGUAAUGUAAAACCU